GCCAGGCUGGUCUCGAACUCCUAACCUCAGGUGAUCCGCCCACCUCGGCCUCUCAAAGUGCUGCGAUUACAGGCAUGAGCCACCAUGCUCGGACCAUGCCAUUUAUGCUGUACUUACAAGUUUAAUUCCUAAAUAACAAUUCUUAACAGCAAGUGCCUUCUGGCAGGCUGUGGACUCCCAGCCUGGGUUCAUCCUGAAUUCACCUCUUCCACAACCUUUUAUUAUGUGAUGCCAUAACUCUCGACACUGCCUUUCCCAUUAAAUUGAGUUUCCUUAAGGGAAUGCCCCUUGCUGUUUUUGUCUCUGAACCAAGCCUAGCAUGGUGCCUGGCAUAGAGCAGGCUCUUAGUAAAUACUUAAUGCAUGACUAUGUGAAGACAUAAUAGAUUUUGUUAAAAGAAAAAAAUUCCAAAGCACUCACAGAAAUAAAGCAGAGCUGUUAAUUUCCCCCUCACUCCUUGACAAUGGAAAUAACUCUCGUAAACACAAAUGACUGUGCUAUGCAGUAGAGGCAUUAGAGUCUUAAGUUAUGAAGUCAAUGACUUGAUUUCCAAACACCUUCUUACCCAAAAUUGCCACCCUAGUCAGAUUGGUUCAGUUGGCUGAUCAGACCAGUGACUCAUCUGUGACAGUGGCAAUAAUUAGGAACCUGUUACAGAUAAAGAUGGACUGUUGUCCUCUGUAAACUACUGAGUUUUUUCCGAGUAUAAAUAGUAUUUGUGAAAAAUGCAAAAGAAUAUGAAGAAAAAGGAUAUCAAAAUCCUGCUAUUAACAUUUCACUGUG
rnacentral:lncRNA from 1 species